rnacentral:rRNA from 1 species
UAAUUUGAGAGUUCGAUCCUGGCUCAGGAUGAACGCUGGCGGCGUGCUUAACACAUGCAAGUCGAGCGAAGCAGUUUUAAGGAAGUUUUCGGAUGGAAUUAAAAUUGACUGAGCGGCGGA